CAGUAGCCGCGGUAAUACGUAGGUCCCGAGCGUUAUCCGGAUUUAUUGGGCGUAAAGCGAGCGCAGGCGGUUAGAAAAGUCUGAAGUGAAAGGCAGUGGCUCAACCAUUGUAGGCUUUGGAAACUGUUUAACUUGAGUGCAGAAGGGGAGAGUGGAAUUCCAUGUGUAGCGGUGAAAUGCGUAGAUAUAUGGAGGAACACCGGUGGCGAAAGCGGCUCUCUGGUCUGUAACUGACGCUGAGGCUCGAAAGCGUGGGGAGCGAACAGGAUUAGAUACCCCAGUAGUCCCUGUCUCUUAUACC
rnacentral:rRNA from 1 species